rnacentral:tRNA from 1 species
GAGGGUAUAGCUCAGUGGCAGAGCACAUGCUUAGUGUGCACAAGGUUCUAGGUUCAGUCCCCAGUACCUCG